rnacentral:rRNA from 1 species
AGCAGCCGCGGUAAUUCCAGCUCCAAUAGCGUAUAUUAAAGUUGUUGCAGUUAAAAAGCUCGUAGUUGAAUUUCGGGGUUAGUAGGUUGGUCAUGCCUCUGGUAUGUACUGGUCUCACUGAUUCCUCCUUCCUGAUGAGCCGUAAUGCCAUUAAUUUGGUGUUUUGGGGAAUUUGGACUGUUACUUUGAAAAAAUUAGAGUGUUUAAAGCAAGCUAACGCUUGAAUACAUUAGCAUGGAAUAAUGAAAUAGGACGUUCGAUCCUAUUUUGUUGGUUUCUAGGAUUGACGUAAUGAUUAAUAGGGAUAGUUGGGGGCAUUAGUAUUCAAUUGUCAGAGGUGAAAUUCUUGGAUUUAUUGAAGACUAACUACUGCGAAAGCAUUUGUCAAGGAUGUUUUCAUUAAUCAAGAACGAAAGUUAGGGGAUCGAAGACGAUCAGAUACCGUCGUAGUCUUAACCAUAAACUAUGCCCGACUAGGGAUCGGAUGAUGUUAAUUUUUAAUGACUCAUUCGGCGCCUUA